UACGUAGGGUGCAAGCGUUGUCCGGAAUUAUUGGGCGUAAAGAGCUCGUAGGCGGCUAGUCACGUCGGAUGUGAAAACCCGAGGCUCAACCUCGGGCCUGCAUUCGAUACGGGCUGGCUAGAGUACUGCAGGGGAGACUGGAAUUCCUGGUGUAGCGGUGAAAUGCGCAGAUAUCAGGAGGAACACCGGUGGCGAAGGCGGGUCUCUGGGCAGUAGCUGACGCUGAGGAGCGAAAGCGUGGGGAGCGAACAGG
rnacentral:rRNA from 1 species